UAUGUACUCCCUCCGUCCCAAAAUUCUUGUCUUAGAUUUGUCUAAAUACGGAUGUAUCAAGUCACGUUUUAGUAUUAGAUACAUCCGUAUCUAGACAAAUCUAAGACAAGAAUUUUGGGACGGAGGGAGUAUGUA
rnacentral:pre_miRNA from 1 species